UACAGAGGUCCCGAGCGUUGUUCGGAUUCAUUGGGCGUAAAGGGUGCGUAGGCGGUGGGGUAAGUUGGAUGUGAAAUCUCGGGGCUCAACCCCGAAACUGCACUUGAUACUGCCUUGCUCGAGUACUGGAGAGGAGAUUGGAAUUUACGGUGUAGCAGUGAAAUGCGUAGAUAUCGUAAGGAAGACCAGUGGCGAAGGCGAAUCUCUGGACAGUUACUGACACUGAGGCACGAAGGCCAGGGGAGCAAACAGG
rnacentral:rRNA from 1 species